ensembl:lncRNA
GAACCUAAGCACAAAGAAUAGAGCAGGUUACACAACAAAGGGAAAUUACGCAUAAAAGUGGCUCAACAAGAUUAUAUCAGAUUAUCGUCCACUGAAAGGACUUUUCUAUUUGAUUUAUUUAUAUAACGGGGACGAUACAUGUCGUCUGCUUAUCCCAGCUGACUUAAUGAUGGACCCUGCAGUACUGACCUAUUCAGUGGAUGAAUAAUAGCAACUCUUUUUACGAGGAUGAAAGUCGAGGGAGCACUUAACACUUCAGAGGAAAUUUGUUUGGGUGUUCAGGAACAACAAGGCUCAAGCCUGCCAUGAACUGGAAGUUUGUGAGUUUUACAUCAAGAUCGGCAUCUUCAUGCUCCCCUGAAGUUUUCAGCUGAUCACGUGAACGAGCCAAAUAGAAAAAAUGUGCAGAGACGAGACAAAGACUGAGCUAUUUGGCCACAGUGAUAACAGGGCAGACCUUCAACUGUACCAAGUGAAGAGCUGCCAAGAAGAAGAAGACACAAAUAAAUAAGUCAAAAGUCAGAAAGAAAUCUCUGUAUGUGUGUAUUUUAUCUUUACACUGUAAGUUACCAGUGUGCAGAUAUCUGCUGUUUAUUUUGCCAUGAAGACUUUCAUUACACAGUGAAAUAAAG